rnacentral:rRNA from 1 species
AGCGAACGCUGGUGGCAGGCCUAACACAUGCAAGUCGAACGAACCCUUCGGGGUUAGUGGCGGACGGGUGAGUAACACGUGGGAACGUGCCUUUAGGUUCGGAAUAACUCAGGGAAACUUGUGCUAAUACCGAAUGUGCCCUUCGGGGGAAAGAUUUAUCGCCUUUAGAGCGGCCCGCGUCUGAUUAGCUAGUUGGUGAGGUAAUGGCUCACCAAGGCUACGAUCAGUAGCUGGUCUGAGAGGAUGACCAGCCACAUUGGGACUGAGACACGGCCCAAACUCCUACGGGAGGCAGCAGUGGGGAAUCUUGCGCAAUGGGCGAAAGCCUGACGCAGCCAUGCCGCGUGGAUGAUGAAGGUCUUAGGAUUGUAAAAUCCUUUCACCGGUGAAGACAAUGACUGUAGCCGGAGAAGAAGCCCCGGCUAACUUCGUGCCAGCCGCCGCCGUAAGAC